rnacentral:rRNA from 1 species
UACAGGGGGUGCAAACGUUGCUCGGAAUCAUUGGGCGUAAAGCGCACGUAGGCGGUUUGUUAUGUCGGAUGUGAAAGCCCUUGGCUCAACUGAGGAAGUGCAUCCGAAACUGGCAAGCUAGAGUACUAAAGAGGGUCGCGGAAUUCCCGGUGUAGAGGUGAAAUUCGUAGAUAUCGGGAGGAACACCGGUGGCGAAGGUGGCGACCUGGGUAGAUACUGACGCUGAGGUGCGAAAGCGUGGGUAGCAAACAGG